rnacentral:misc_RNA from 1 species
UACGGAGGGUGCAAGCGUUGUCCGGAUUUAUUGGGUUUAAAGGGUACGCAGGCGGCCUUGUAAGUCAGUGGUGAAAGGCUGUGGCUUAACCACAGAAGUGCCAUUGAAACUACAGGGCUUGAGUACAGUUGAGGUGGGCGGAAUUCAUGGUGUAGCGGUGAAAUGCAUAGAUACCAUGAGGAACACCAAUUGCGGAGGCAGCUCACUGGACUGUAACUGACGCUGAGGUACGAAAGCGUGGGGAGCGAACAGG